UGGGGAAUUUUGGACAAUGGGGGAAACCCUGAUCCAGCCAUCCCGCGUGUGCGAUGAAGGCCUUCGGGUUGUAAAGCACUUUUGGCAGGAAAGAAACGUCGCGGGUUAAUACCCCGCGAAACUGACGGUACCUGCAGAAUAAGCACCGGCUAACUACGUGCCAGCAGCCGCGGUAAUACGUAGGGUGCAAGCGUUAAUCGGAAUUACUGGGCGUAAAGCGUGCGCAGGCGGUUCGGAAAGAAAGAUGUGAAAUCCCAGAGCUUAACUUUGGAACUGCAUUUUUAACUACCGGGCUAGAGUGUGUCAGAGGGAGGUGGAAUUCCGCGUGUAGCAGUGAAAUGCGUAGAUAUGCGGAGGAACACCGAUGGCGAAGGCAGCCUCCUGGGAUAACACUGACGCUCAUGCACGAAAGCGUGGGGAGCAAACAGGAUUAGAUACCCUGGUAGUCCACGCCCUAAAACGAUGUCAACUAGCUGUUGGGGGCCCUUCGGGCCUUGGUAGCGCAGCUAACGCGUGAAGUUGACCGCCUGGGGAGUACGGUCGC
rnacentral:rRNA from 1 species